rnacentral:rRNA from 1 species
CCUACGGGUGGCAGCAGUGGGGAAUAUUGCUCAAUGGAGGAAACCCUGAAGCAGCAACGCAGCGUGGAGGAUGAAGGUUUUCGGAUUGUAAACUCCUUUUUUUAAAGAAGAAAAUGGCGGUACCUAACCAAUAAGCCCCGGCUAACUCCGUGCCAGCAGCCGCGGUAAUACGGAGGCUGCAAGCGUUACUCGGAAUCACUGGGCGUAAAGGGCGCGUAGGCGGGAUAGCAAGUCAGAUGUGAAAUCCUAUGGCUUAACCAUAGAAUUGCAUUUGAUACUGUUAUUCUAGAGUAGGGGAGAGGUAGGUGGAAUUCUUGGUGUAGGGGUAAAAUCCGUAGAGAUCACGAGGAAUACUCAUUGCGAAGGCGACCUGCUAGAACAUAACUGACGCUGAUGCGCGAAAGUGUGGGGAGCAAACAGGAUUAGAUACCCUUGUAGUC